AAAAAAGCAAAAUGGCUGUCUGGGGAGGCCUUACAAAUAGCUGUGAAAAGAAGAGAAGCGGAAAGCAAAGGAGAAAAAGAAAGAUAUAAGCAUCUGAAUACAGAGUUCCAAAGAAUAGCAAGAAGAGAUAAGAAAGCCUUCCUCAGUGAUCAAUGCAAAGAAUUAGAGGAAAACAACAGAAUGGGAAAGAGUAGAGAUCUCUUCAAGAAAAUUAGAGAUACCAAGGGAACAUUUCAUGCAAAGAUGGGCUCGAUAAAGGACAGAAAUGGUAUGGACCUAACAGAAGCAGAAGAUAUUAAGAAGAGGCGGCAAGAAUACACAGAACUAUACAAAAAAGAUCUUCAUGACCAAGAUAAUCACGAUUGUGUGAUCACUCACCUAGAGCCAGACAUCCUGGAAUGUGAAGUCAAGUGGGCCUUAGAAAGCAUCACUAUGAACAAAGCUAGUGGAGGUGAUGGAAUUCCAGUUGAGCUAUUUCAAAUCCUGAAAGAUGAUGCUGUGAAAGUGCUGCACUCAAUGUGCCAGCACAUUUGGAAAACUCAGCAGUGGCCACAGGACUGGAAAAGGUCAGUUUUCAUUCCAAUCCCAAAGAAAGAUAAUGCCAAAGAAUGCUCAAUCUACCGCACAAUUGCACUCAUCUCACACGCUAGUAAAAUAAUGCUCAAAAUUCUCCAAGCCAGGUUUCAGCAAUACAAGAGCCAUGAAAUUCCUGAUGUUCAAGCUGAUUUUAGAAAAGGGAGAGGAACCAGAGAGCUGGAUCAUGGAAAAAAACAAGAAAGUUCCAGAAAAACAUCUAUUUCUGCUUUAUUGACUAUGCCAAAGCCUUUGACUGUGUGGAUCACAAUAAACUGUGGAAAAUUCUGAAAGAGAUGGGAAUACCAGACCACCUGACCUGCCUCUUGAGAAACCUAUAUGCAGGUCAGGAAGCAACAGUUAGAACUGGACAUGGAACAACAGACUGGUUCCAAAUAGGAAAAGGAGUACAUCAAGGCUGUAUAUUGUCACCCUGCUUAUUUAACUUCUAUGCAGAGUACAUCAUGAGAAACGCUGGACUGGAAGAAGCACAAGCUGGAAUCAAGAUUGCUGGGUGAAAUAUCAAUAACCUCAGAUAUACAGAUGACACCACCCUUAUGGCAGAAAGUGAAGAGGAACUAAAAAGCCUCUUGAUGAAAGUGAAAGAGGAGAGUGAAAAAGUUGACUUAAAGCUCAACAUUCAGAUAACUAAGAUCAUGGCAUCCGGUCCCAUCACUUCAUGGGAAAUAGAUGGGGAAACCGUGGAAACAGUGUCAGACUUUAUUUUUUUGGGCUCCAAAAUCACUGCAGAUGGUCACUGCAGCCAAGAAAUUAAAAGACUCUUUGGAAGGAAAGUCAUGACCAAUCUAGACAGCAUAUUAAAAAGCAGAGAUAUUAUUUUGCCAACAAAGGUCCAUCUAGUCAAGGCUAUGGUUUUUCCAGUGGUCAUGUAUGGAUGUGAGAGUUGGACUGUGAAGAAAGCUGAG
ensembl:lncRNA